ensembl:snRNA U6 U6 spliceosomal RNA
GUGUUCGCUCCAGCAGCACAUAUACUAAAAUUGGAAUGAUACAGAGAAGAUUAGCAUAGGCCCUGCACGAGGAUGAAAUGAAAAUUGUGAACCAUUCUAUAUUUUU